rnacentral:rRNA from 1 species
AGUGAACGCUGGCGGCGUGCUUAACACAUGCAAGUCGAACGAGAACGGAAUAUAGCUUGCUAUAUUUGUCAGCUAAGUGGCGCACGGGUGAGUAAUGUAUAGAUAACCUGCCCUUAAGAAAGGAAUAACAGUUGGAAACGACUGCUAAUGCCCUAUAUGCCUUUAAUACAUAAGUAUGCAAGGGAAACGCUUUAGUGCUUAAGGAUGGGUCUGUAUGGUAUCAGCUUGUUGGUGAGGUAAUGGCUCACCAAGGCUAUGACGCCUAACUGGUUUGAGAGGAUGUUCAGUCACACUGGAACUGAGUCACGGUCCAGACUCCUACGGGAGGCAGCAGUGGGGAAUAUUGCACAAUGGACGAAAGUCUGAUGCAGCAACGCCGCGUGGAGGAUGACACAUUUCGGUGCGUAAACUCCUUUUAUAUAGGAAGAUAAUGACGGUACUAUAUGAAUAAGCACCGGCUAACUCCGUGCCAGCCGCCGCAGUAA